AACGACACUAAUAAAUGAAAGUUCUGAGUGCGCAGGAAUGUUAAUCUAUUCUCGAACUCCCUCCGCUCAUCUCAGGCACCUGCCCCGUGCCGAUGCUUAGUGAAUGUCCGUAACCAAACUGUCGUGGAAUUUUCUUACAUGCUCCUUUCUUUUUCUUCCUUCGUUUCUUUCAUUUGAUGAAUGAAUUGUUGAUUACCUGCCGUGUCAGAUAUUGUGGCGGGCACAGGAGAUAUUCAUUUGAAUUUGGCACAGGUUCCAUCUCAAAUUCCUGUGGAGGAGGCAGAUAAAUACCACAUUUUAAGUUGGAGCCCGAAGGAGUGGUGGAAAAAUGGGUUAUGCCCUGGAAACACAAAGGCAGUUUCAAGAAAAUUCAUUGCAAUUGUGUUUGUAAUCAUGAAA
rnacentral:lncRNA from 1 species